rnacentral:lncRNA from 10 species
GAGAGUAGGCACUCCAUCUCUGGCUCAUGCUUCACUGUACUGAGAGUUUAAACUUCCAUGCUGUCCUAGCCUGCUUGGAAAAACCAGAGUGCCCUGAACUUCCAGUGAAUCAGCUCCUCUUGGGCCCUGAUGUGUCCUCAGGAUCUCAUUAGAUGGAGCCAACUCAGAAUCUAAGCAGGUACCUAUGAGUUGUCCCUAGUACUGAAAAUCCAAAUGUUGCUUGGCAGUCCAGUUCAUGAAACCUCUAAGAAAUGGAAGGUCAGAGGCUGCUGUUUUCCUGUGGAGACAUGACUGGUUCAGCAAUGGGGGCAGGUCUGGACAGGGUAGUGAGACCCAUCAAUAGACCAUCCAUGAGAAGGCCAGUAGGGGGUGCCAUGGCUGCCUCCCACUGUUCCUUUCUAAGUUUAGAUUUGCAGGGUGUGUGGGUGUGUGAGUCCAUGCAUGCACACACAUUCAAUUUAUGCUUCUGUCAAAACCCCACAUAUUCAAUAGUAAAAAUAACAAAAUAAUACAUAUACAAAAAUUAUAAUCAAAAA